AUCUCCAUUCACUUUUUAUCUUCGAGACACCGGAUAACAACACUCCAUGUUUUACCCAUCAUCCCGGACAUUAAAAUUGCUUCCAUCUUCACUUUCCACAAUUCCAAAUUGCUUUUGGAAAGUCUCUCGAUAUCCGACUUAGAACCCAUGGCGCUCGCUUCAAAUUGUUCNNNNNNNNNNNNNNNNNNNNNCAAAUUGUUCCAAUUGCCCCACGGUGGGCGCCAAUUGUUGUGAAUUCGUCUAUGAAAUCACACCAAUAAAAGAACUUGAUGUGUGGAGCAAUAGAACGGCAACCAAAUAAUUAAGCGGAAUAAGCAAUAAUAAUAACAACACCGAUAAAGAAGAUAAAUGGAGAAGAAAGAACACGAUAUUUGUUUACCCAGUUCGGUCCAAUAAUGACCUAGUCUGGGGGAGAGAGCAGCCCCUCCGUUCCACUAUAUCAAAGAGUAACGCUACAAAGAAAUUCCCUAUUGGGUUACAAGAAUUAAUCCUAAUUCUACCCAAAACCCGAAUCUCUUCCCGUGGCCAAGAGACUCAAUUUGAUAAGUGUUUCCCAAGGUGUAAUCAAUCCCCUUUGCCCAACCCUAGAGUUAUACCAAGAGACAACCCCUCUUGUUUCUCUCUAAAACCCUAGCCUUGUGUCGGCGGCAAAUCCUAAUUGAAAACCCUACAUUGUUGCUCCUUUUUUCUCUCUCUCUCAAUUUUUCUAUGAAUAAAGCACUCCCUAUUUAUAGAAAAAU
rnacentral:lncRNA from 1 species